CUUGUGAACAGGGGGUGCUAUCCAGCCUGGAUGCCAUGAUGGUUCGGGGCAGGGAAACCUAGAUGACCUCGUCCAGCAAAGAAAGAGCAGAUACCCGGUUGGUAUUUGAGGUCCCAGAGCCCCGAAAGGCAGCUGCUGGGGUUUCUACAAGUCCAGCUUCUGAGCCCCUGGCCUCAAGGAAGAAGAUAGCAAAGCAAAUGAGCCCUGAGUGGGCUGGCCUCCCAAGGGGACCUUGGGGCAGCCUUGCUAAGCAGGGAUUUUGCUGGGUGACUCAAAGCCAGGACCAUUCGAUAGAUUCCGGGCAUCCGGUAUCCACAAGCUGCAUCCAAUUCAUGCAGUAACAGUGGGGCAGCACCCUGGCCCUCCUCCUCCUCCGCUCUCUCCGCCUGCUUCCCCACAGAAUAUUCUCCUGGACGUGUCUUCGUCGGGCAGCUGAUGCUCACCUUCUCCUCCAAGGGUGGACGCACAUCAAAACUUUUCCUUAGCGCAUCCAUCCUGACGGUCAGCUCUUUUGGGGUAAUGUGGGGGAAGUUCAGUAACUUAUGCUAAGGGAGGAAGAACUUGGGGACUGAGUCUUGGUUUGGACCUACCCCUAACCAUCACUGGGAGCAGAGGAUGAACAAGUUUGCAACCUCUGUGGGCCUCGGUUUUUUUCUCUGUGGUCUGGGGCUAUAUGAAUGCUUUCUGGUCCUUCCAGCAGCAAGUUCCUUCACAUCUCUUUUGAAAUGCCCACCUUGUUGGGCAUAGGACAAGCAGCCUUCUUUGUUACGAAAUAAGGUGGAUUAUCAGUUCCUUUUCUUAGAUGCCAUUGUACCCCUGUCAUUCAAGUCUCUGCACAAUCACUCGGCUGGGCAUUGCCCAAUGCUCCAUAGACCCUGGCCCUGUGUCCAUCUCAUUAAGCCCCCCACAUGUCUUAUAAGGGAGCAAACACCGAGCAAAUGUGGCGGGAUUGUGCCGAGCCCCCUCUGGGGCAGUGGGAGUGGGUGGUUACUGCUGCAGUCCUCGCUAAGCGGGGUUGGGAGAGCACCAGAUUGUUCUGGAAGUUCUCUUCCUGACAGAUGCACGAAACACCUGGUGCAAGUCUCCUUAAUCUUUC